GGCCAAGUUGAUCUCUUCUCCAAACUCGCAUUGCACCUUCGUCAACACAUCAUCAAGAUGAAGCUCAUUCUUAUUCCAUUGAUCUCUCCAUUUCAAAGCUAAAUCAAUCUCUCAAUCUGAAUGACAAUCCUGGAGUUAGGGUUUUGGCUACCGCUCCCUCCUUCAUGUGUGCGUCACUGCGCCACAGGUUUUUGAUUCUGUGAUUGAGAAUUUGGUCAAAACGAUUGUUAGUGUUCUGUCUUCUUCAAUAAGUUGUAGAGUGUUGAAAUUUGAGAAAGAAGAGGUUUUGCGGACUGGCAGGUCCAUUUGCCAGCGGGAUUGCGUGGAAUUCAUUGAAGUUGUUAUUGAUGUUCUAUCAAAAUUGGAUGAACAUGGGGUGCCUCUCAUUUGCUAUUAUGUGCUGCUGCUAGAGUCAUGGUUUCGGCAUCCUGCUCUGGAUAUUUGGUCCCAUCAGUGCGUGUUUUGGAUGUUAAAUCAAUUAGCAGAAAAGAAGCAAUGCUAUCACAAACUUCAUCUGCCGCUUGCCCAGAGAAUUCUCCCUUAACGACAGUGAACUACCACUGAGGUUGCUGUCAUCGUAUCUUGACGCACUAACACUAAAACAUGAUUUUUCUAAUAUCUUGGAAGACACCAUGAAAAGACCUUCCCUUUCUUUGAGCAAGGGAUUUUAUGAGAGGAUGGAAUGGUGCUGGUGUUGAGGGCCCUGUCUGGAACCCUCUCAUCUUCAAGUUUUCAGCAAUUAGUUUACGGUAAAUAAGCAAUUCAGUUUGUCUUGUCAAGAAACAAUUUGGCCCGACUUCUAUGCCAUCUGCAAUGAAGGUUAUAUCUAGUGAUUCCAAAUCUAUCUGGUAUAUUCUUACUCCAUGUGAAUGGCAAAAAACCUCUUUGGCAAUUAGUAUGCCUUCAUCCUACUUCCAAUAUGUAUUUGAAAUGUUGCUUGGCAGGGUUCUCACAAUCUGCUUUCCAGCUUGGUUUUAUUUUGCUUCAGUUUUACUCUUCUCCAACAAUUGUUUUCAAAGAAUUGUCAGUUGAAGUGCACAUUAGGGAUACCCAAUUUUAGACAAACAAGUGAAAUGGGACGACCUGCUUCCGCUAGGUACGUAAUACGUUGCUUGGAUUUUGAGCCCUGAUAACAAAUCUCAUCAGGAUCUGCUGUUUGAGAUUUUGACUAAAAUAUCAGAGUGUUGGUCUUUGAAACAAAUAGACUCAGCUAUUCAUAAGAGGUAUAGUUGACUACAGAUCCGAAUGCUGUGACACUAAGGAAGAUUUUGGUCUUGGAAACAAGUAUUAUUUGUCAAGUCAUCUGACUUCGGCUCAAAGAAUUUCUAAGUAUCACGAAUUACAGUGAUGAAUCAACUCGACAAUUCAUCAUCCUGCGAGGGAAAAACAUAUUUUUUUUGGGCAAAACAGUAUGCUUCUCUGGAAAAUCCCAUUAGGUAAUUUGAUUGGUUGUCCUAGUUAUGUAAAGGUUGCUUCAUUUAACGGAAGAUGGACUUGAACAGUUGUUUCAUUAUGCUGCAACUGGUGGGUUGCUUCAUUUCACAAGUAAGAAUUCUAAAAUGAAACAUGUGGAAAAUUCUGAGGGGCAAAAAAUCUUUCUACGAAGUAAUAAAUUUAAUAACAAGGAAGCAGUUGCAGGUGCCUGUCUAGUCUUCAGUUUAACUGAUGUUGUCGAGAGGCUGUUCUCUUCAUUAUUUGAGAAUGGAAAAAUUGGACUGGGUAUUAUUUUCCUGGUAAAAUUGUGGGCAAGCAGGCAUUUGAUAACGUGCAUCAAGAGCCUGAUCCAGCCCAAUAUUGUUGAAGAUGUAAAUGCGUUGCUGGUGGAUCUCCAUAGCAGAUUGGAGCGAUGGCAGUGUCAAGGGCAAGAAAUAUAAAAACUAGACAAAGAUCUUUAGAAUUUGACUCUUUCGAGGUGCAAUGAACUGGUUACUUUAGAAUUUUUGUUCAUGGAUUUUUUGGUUGAACAAUUGCACACAUGCACACGUGUGCGCUAGCACACACAAAUACACAGAUAACAAUUAUUUUUUGUUUUUCUGUUGUUUCUGGAUUAUUGUUAACAACUGAUAGUACGUUUUAGUACAAUAAGUAUGACUGCAACAUUUGUACAAUUUACAUUUGCGUUUACUCCUAUUGCCCGUGGUGUCUUUUGUGCUUUCACCUUGGAAAUCUGAGCGGGGUGAAGGUUUGAAAAUCUUAUAUAGACAGUAACGAAUGGUUAAUGUAUUCAGGGUGAGGUGAAUUGAAAUUUCAUUUGUUUGAUUAGCUGCUGUGCGUUUCAACGCUUCAACUGCACUGAACUUCAACUGAAAGUUUCUUUGGGCUACCUGGACAUGGAUCCCCUCCAAAGUUUUCAGGAGCCACAACUACUUCACAUGAUUGCUUUCCAAGACAGUUACUUUGGAAAGGAUCCCAAGACUUCUGGGCAUGACAUUUCCCUUGUUGGAAGUAGCCACAUCUUCCUUGAGGCCAUCCAUAGCUAGCAAACUUAAUCUGAGAGAUGGUAUGCCCAGGAGGACACCACAAAUGAGCUUUGGGUUUGGUUGGGACUAUCCCCUGCCAAUUUUGCACUGCUGGCUGAUCGUCAUAUAUAUCAGCACAAACACUUCCUACGAUUCGUUUGAGUAAAGAAAUUCCAGUAGGAUCGCCACCCAUUUCUUCAAACACAACUAAUAGAUUCCCACUUGGGUUCACCCACGAGCGAGGAACGUGGU
rnacentral:misc_RNA from 1 species